rnacentral:lncRNA from 1 species
CUCCAAAAGGAAUUCUUCAUCUUUCUCCUGAUGUUUAUCAAGAGAUGGAAGCCAGCCGCCACAGAGUGACCUCUGGCACAACUCUAGGCUACUUAUCACCCAAAGAUAUGAACCAACCUUCAAGCUCCUUCUUCAGUGUAGAGUCUCCCUCACCGACUAGUUCAGCCCCAGCUGCCAGGGAACUCCUAAUGAAUGGAACAUCUCCUGCUGCUGAAGCCAUAGGUUUAAAAGGAAGUUCUCCUACUCCCCCUUGUUCUUCAGUACAGCCUUCAAAACAACUGGAAUAUUUAGCAAGGAUUCAAGGCUUUCAGGCAGCCUUAAGUGCCUUGAAACAGUUUUCUGAACAAGGACUGGAAUCAAUUGAUGGGGUGGUGAAUGUUGAAAACGGCUCUCUUGAAAAACAAGCCAAGCAUCUGCGGGAGAAAGCGGACAAUAACCAGGCAAACCCAGGCUCCAUCACUCAGGACUGCAAGAAAUCAAAGUCGGUCAUCUAGCAGCUCCCAGAACCCAUGGCUGCCACUGCGUCCAUAUAAAGCUGUCAGCACGCACGAGGGUGUCUGUGUUCUAGGAAACGAAUGACUAAUACCAUUAUCUGAGUCUGAUGUGAAGACAACACUAUUCUAACCCAGGAGACAAUGUACAUGGUACUGCUUAUUCAACUGGGGGAAAAUAAAACUUUGAGCAUUUCCCUUGGAACUUGAGAUCAGAUCAUAACUCAUUUGCCCAGAGGCAGCAGAAAUCUGAUCCACUACUGGAGUUUAAAAAUAACAAUUAAUGAAAAGUGUUAGAAACAAGGCUGCAGUUUUAAAAUGACUCACACAGAAGUUGGGUUUGGUUCUGUCCUUACAGUUGCUUUGUCGUGGAGAUUGUGGUGUUAUACUCUCUCUUGUUUGAAAUAAUGCUUGACAAUUCAGAAAUUAACCAAUGAUGUGCUGUGGAAUGUGAUGCUUGUCUUCAUAUAGUCUCACAGUUUCUCUUUUUAUUCAGAUAUUUGUAACCUUCUUCUUGCACAGACACACACACACACACAUACACACACACAUAUACACACACAUAUUACUUUAAGGUGCAUAGCACAAAGAUGUAUGCAAAUAACUUUUAAAUCAGGUCAGAUAACUGAUUUAAAUAUAAAUAACUAGGAACCAGUAGUUUCCAUAUAUUUCAGGACUUUUAAAAAGACAAAAUGAAACAAAACUGAACAGUUGUGGGUUUUGCGCUAUGGGAUGCCAUCAGCCAUCGAGGAGGCGUCUUGCCUCUGACCAUCAAUCCAAGAGUCUACUCUGUCGUGGAAAUUGUGCCCACCCCCAUCUGUGUGUUGUAACCACUCACUGUUUGCAUCGAGUGUCUUUAGUAAAUGCCUCUGGACUCGGGACAGUGAGUAGGAUCGAGUAGGAUCAAAUAGAUACUGUACAUGGUGGGGAAUGGAAAGCCUGUGGGAGAAGCUUCUAGCCAACCGCGCUCUGGACCAGCAUGUUGGAAUCCAGCGUGGGGCAAAUGCAGUAAAGAUUUGGUCUGUUUCUGUAUAA